UCUGUCUCCCUCUCAACUCUCUCUCUCUCUCUCUCUCUCUCUCUCUCUCUCUCUCUCUCUCUCUCUCUCUAUGUGAAUGGAUUCUUCAAGAAAGCAAUAUUUCUUCUCCACGAUCACGUUCCUUUAUAAUUCUCAGCCUCAGGUAUCUAAAUACUCUCUCCUUGCUCUGUAUUUUAAUUCUCUCGCUGCAGCUUUAUUGAAGAACUAGUUCAAAUCCGAACACAAUUAAAGUGUAUAAGUUCAAACAUACAUGUACAGAACUACAGAUGCCUAAUUUUUGUGUUAUAACUUCUUCAUAUGUUGACUGACAUGCUUUGAUAUGAUUGAUUUGAAUUAAGAUAGAUUAAAUAGAAGUGUGGAGAUUUAAUUUUGUAGGAACGAUCCAUAAGAUUAAAAUGGAUAGAUUUCUCAUCAAGCCGAAAAAUGGUGAACCAAGUUCUAGUGCUAGUUGGUCAUCCAUGAGUUCACAAAUCGCUCCGAAAGUUCAAUGAGAGACAAAUCCUUCUCUACUUUCAAAUGUGGAUAAAGUGCUUGAUUUGAAAUCUUUUGAACCGGAUCCCAAAGAAAGAAUGCCAAUUUCGGAUUAUGGAUUUAUUUUUAUGUUGCACUUGAUAUUUAAGGUGUUGUUAUUUACAAAUUAAUUGAACAAAGCUUUACAAAAGAAAGAUCAAGAAAUUGUUAAUGCUAUGGGAAUACUUGACCUUGCAAAGAAACGAUUGCAAAUGAUGAGAGAAACUGAAUGGAACUCCUUGUUAGAUGAGGUGUGCUCAUUUUGUAGUAAACAUGAUAUUCUAAUUUCCAAAAUAGAUGAAGACUAUACUCUAGGAAAGUCGAAGCUUAAGAGGUCCGAAGUUUCAUAUUUACAUCACUUUCGUGUGGAAGUGUUUUAUACGGUUAUUGAUUUGGAAUUUCAAGAGCUUAAUGAUCGUUUUGAUGUUGUGACUACUGACUUACUACUUGGUAUGUCCAGUUUGAAUCCGGUUGAUUUAUUUGCUAAUUUUGAUAAGGACGGGAUAAUGAAGUUGGCAUAAUAUUAUCCAAGUGAAUUUGGUGAUAACAAACUUCGAGAACUCGAUUUCCAACUUGAUAGUUUCAUUGUCUAUGCUCAAAAGUGUGAUGGCAGAUUUCUUAACCUGAAGGGGAUUAAGGAUUUUGCUAGAGUGAUGAUAGUGACAUAAUUAGAUCUUACUUGGCCACUUAUUUAUUUGCUUGUAAAGUUGACUUUGCUUAUACUUGUUGCUACCGCAGGUGUGGAAAGAGCAUUCUCAACAAUGAAGUACAUCAAAAAUGAUCUACGUAAUAGGAUGGAUGAUGAUUUUCUCAAUGAUUAUUUAAUUUGCUAUAUAGAGCGUAAGAUAUUUAAAACUGUAAGUAAUGAUGUUAUUAUCGACCGUUUUCAAAGUAUGAAUACUCGUCGAGGAUAAUUGUAAAGUGAAUGAUAUUUUUUGCGAAUAUAAUAUUAAUAUAGUUUGCUCGUGAAGUCGUGAACUUGUUAUUACCAUAAAUUUUAUAUAAUCGAACCAAACAUUUAUCUUAAAG
rnacentral:lncRNA from 1 species